GCACCUUGUUCCCUUCAUAGGCCUCUGGUCGUCCCUAAAGGCUCUCUGUUCCCUUCAUAGGCCUCUGGUCGUCCCUAAAGGCUCUCUGUUCCCUUCAUAGGCCUCUGGUCGUCCCUAAUGGCACCUUGUUCCCUUCAUAGGCCUCUGGUCGUCCCUAAAGGCACUCUGUUCCCUUCAUAGGCCUCUGGUCAAUAGUAGUGCACUGUAUAGUACAGCCGGGACGUUAAACCGAUCAUUAUCGACACCGGAAAUACCGAUCACUUAUCGUAUUAAACCGAUCAUUAUCGACACCGGAAAUACAGAUCACUUAUCGUAUUAAACCGAUCAUUACCGACACCGGAAAUACCGAUCACUUAUCGUAUUAAACCGAUCAUUAUCGACACCGGAAAUACCGAUCACUUAUCGUAUUAAACCGAUCAUUAUCGACACCGGCAAUACCGAUCAUUAUCGACACCGGCAAUACCGAUCAUUAUCGACACCGGCAUUACCGAUCACUUAUCGUAGGCAGUAACCUAUACUAGAGAAAUGUGAAGUUUGAAAUGAAGUAAGUUUGCCAAUAUGGUUUGUUAAUGGGACAAUUGACUGCUACAACCAUCUAACUAGUAGUUUAAAGGAGAAUAAUAUAAACUGUGGUGCAGAUUCAUGUUAUAAACAGAUUGUUCUAUUUAUCAGUAUCGCAUCAAUUCAGGCAAUUUCUCACCAUAUGGAUUUUGGUCCACGUCACCCAGCUCUACUAUUGAGGGAAUAGGGUGCCGUUUUGGACUCGGCCCAUGUCUGUCUCUGUAUACUGUCUGCAUGGUGUCU
rnacentral:lncRNA from 13 species